rnacentral:rRNA from 1 species
UAAGGAAUAUUGGACAAUGGGGGCAACCCUGAUCCAGCCAUCCCGCGUGCAGGAUGACGGCCCUACGGGUUGUAAACUGCUUUUGCGAGGGAAGAAACGAAGCUAUUUAUAGUUUUUUGACGGUACCUCGAGAAUAAGCACCGGCUAACUCCGUGCCAGCAGCCGCGGUAAUACGGAGGGUGCAAGCGUUAUCCGGAAUCACUGGGUUUAAAGGGUGCGUAGGCGGCAUUAUAAGUCAGAGGUGAAAGGCCGUCGCUUAACGAUGGAAUUGCCUUUGAUACUGUAGUGCUUGAAUUGGGUUGAGGCUGGCGGAAUGUGGCAUGUAGCGGUGAAAUGCAUAGAUAUGCCAUAGAACACCAAUUGCGAAGGCAGCUGGCUGGGCCUUGAUUGACGCUGAGGCACGAAAGCGUGGGGAGCGAACA